ACUUCUCUAGCUAGUCUGUAAAUGUGUGUCCGUGAAAUGAGCUGGCAGUCAGAAUCAAGUGCUACCACCUUUAUACCUUGUCCAGCUGAGUGAGUUGAAGAUGGAUAUGGCAGUGGAAUACAUUGGCUUUAAAGGUAGCACCUUUUAAUUGAAAUUGUGAAACCUGACCUGUUUUUGUUUACAUUGUGUAGAUGGAAUUAGUGGAUUAUUACUUGUCCCCGCUUGUCCCCACUCCCCAGUACUAUGAAGAUGUAGCCUGAUAAUAGCUUAAUAAUCUGGACUAUGUAGCGCAGAACUGGUCAAGGAAAGACUUCCGCUGCAUAAUCAUCCAGGAAAAUGUCGUCACAGCAUCUCAAUAAACUUCUGGUUAUAACGAUGAAGUUCUGCAGGUGUGUUGGGGAUUGCAGGAUAUCUUGGUCAUCAACUUGUUAGGUUGUUAGACACGGACAAAAAGGAGCUGAAUAAUUUCUAUACGUGACGGCUAUAAUGAAGCGGUGGAAUUGGUUGGCAAAAUGAAGAGAACGUGCAGUCAAAGGACAAUCUGAGCGCGUGAAAUUGGAAUAGGCCUACUACCUACUCAUCGAACAGAAGAGUGCCCAUUUUGCCGAAUUGCAGAUCCUUUCUCUCGUAGAGGAGAUACGGGACAAUUGGAAUUAGGUGACUCUGUCGGCUGUAUUUGAACCGAAUGGCGAGUAUGUCUUUCGCCUUUGCCGCGGUGGCCACUGUCCACUCAGAGUGCGAAGGCUUCUCCUGUUGGAAACACCUUUCCAUUCAGUUCGACGAUUUCAAGCACAGGAAAAGGAUCGCCAAUUGCUGGAUCAUUUCGGAUUUUCUGGAUCUCUCCUUGCGGACCAACCGAGAGGAAGAGCACAAUGCAGACAGGGAAACACACGCACAUGAAUUCGGCUUCGCUGACCAUCAAUCAUUACGGUUACGACAGGUCGACAGCGGCACUCAGCUGAUUGGACGUGUUCGCGGCGUACCAAAGGCUUGCUGCAAGAACUCCGCAUGAAAGAGAAUGACCAUCGUAUUUUUCGACGAAGAGUACCAGUUGUUAUUGGGUCGUUAUUUAUGCUAUCUAUUAACCUCCGAUACGUACUUCAUUUACGAAACGGUAACAUUUUCACCACUUCUCAUAUAUAUUUCUGUGAUAACGUUGUUUUUGUGUUAAAACUAAAAGGCCUUUGGUUUAAUUGAACAUA